GAUGAACGCUGGCGGCGUGCCUAAUACAUGCAAGUCGAGCGAACGGACGAGAAGCUUGCUUUUCUGAUGUUAGCGGCGGACGGGUGAGUAACACGUGGAUAACCUACCUAUAAGACUGGGAUAACUUCGGGAAACCGGAGCUAAUACCGGAUAAUAUUUUGAACCGCAUGGUUCAAAAGUGAAAGACGGUCUUGCUGUCACUUAUAGAUGGAUCCGCGCUGCAUUAGCUAGUUGGUAAGGUAACGGCUUACCAAGGCAACGAUGCAUAGCCGACCUGAGAGGGUGAUCGGCCACACUGGAACUGAGACACGGUCCAGACUCCUACGGGAGGCAGCAGUAGGGAAUCUUCCGCAAUGGGCGAAAGCCUGACGGAGCAACGCCGCGUGAGUGAUGAAGGUCGUCGGAUCGUAAAACUCUGUUAUUAGGGAAGAACAUAUGUGUAAGUAACUGUGCACAUCGUGACGGUACCUAAUCAGAAAGCCACGGCUAACUACG
rnacentral:rRNA from 1 species